GUGAGAGCAGGCAUCUGUGCCCCAGGGACGGAUGGGAUUGGGACUUGGGCUCCUCACCCACGUUGCUCUUCCUUCCUGAGACAGGGAGCCAGCUGUGCACCCUUGUUCUAUAGGGGCACCACGGCUCUCCUGCUCCUCCAAAUAGGGGCAGGAGCCUCUGGUAACAUGCAGCACCCUUCUCCCCAUCCCAGUCCCCGCUCCACCCGCAUGCCAGCCCAACCACACACGUCAGCCUGCAUGGUGGGGACGGCCCCGUGCCAGGAGGUGCCACCAAGUUGUCUCCUUCACCCAGGCGGAAGGCAAAGUCCCUGAUUAGAGCAGCUCUGCCACAACCACCCCUGGCCUCUGCAACACGGGGAAAGUCCGUGGACCGUGUGCCAGGUUGAGUUGGUGGCAAGAAGCACACCUGGGGACAACGGGUCCUUCCUGCAUGAGCACCUCUCAGCAGUGAGGAGGUGGUGGGAAAAUGCCUUUCCUUGCCUGCAGUACGCUCGUAGGUUGUAAGGUUGUAAACAUAAAGUCCUCCUGGUCCUGCUCCAGGCUGGCUAAACACCAGCUCAGGCCCCUCCCAAGUGCUUUUCCCAUCGUAUCCGUGCGCUCCCACCUGCUCAGGAAGCUCCAGCCCAUCCAGUCCCUCGCUGGGAAACCACUGCUCUGUCUUGGCCUGCGUCCCCGGGGCGCUGCCUGAUCUCAUCUCCACAGGUGUCCUGCAGGUGGGUGCCCUCGGAGCCCGCAGACACACACCCACACCCGACAGAGCAAAGCAGGGCUCAGGGCUGCUGAUGCUGCUGGGAAAAAGGCAGGAUGAGCACGGCCAGGAGGCAGGAAAUCAUAGCAGCCCCUUGCAGGGACCGCUUGGGAAGGCUCUCAGUGGGGGAGAACAUUCUGUAGGCUGUGGGGCCUUGAACAAAUUCAGUGACCAUAAGUUGCAGAGAAGCAAGGUGGUGCGCCCAACAAAUCCAUUGAUGGCAGAGAUGCAAGGUGGUGUGCGGUACAUCCCAUACCACCUAGGCUGAACACCUGAUCCUACUCAUUCUUGCAAAGCCCCGUGCAGAGGAUGCCACCCCAUUGCAGACUUUUUGGGAUGAGCUGGGAUUGAGGCCAUUUGGUAAAGUUCUCUGUGAUACAGAGAGGAAAGCUGUAGACUGACCGUGCCACAUCCCCAGAAACCCAGUGGACAGGAUGGCAUUUGAGCUCUUAAAUGGCUCCUGAUAUGCCUGCUGACACUCUGGGGUCUAUGUGGUCCAUGGGAUGCUCCAGGAACC
ensembl:lncRNA